AGUGAACGCUGGCGGUAGGCCUAACACAUGCAAGUCGAACGGCAGCACAGUAAGAGCUUGCUCUUACGGGUGGCGAGUGGCGGACGGGUGAGGAAUACAUCGGAAUCUACUUUUUCGUGGGGGAUAACGUAGGGAAACUUACGCUAAUACCGCAUACGACCUACGGGUGAAAGCAGGGGAUCUUCGGACCUUGCGCGAUUGAAUGAGCCGAUGUCGGAUUAGCUAGUUGGCGGGGUAAAGGCCCACCAAGGCGACGAUCCGUAGCUGGUCUGAGAGGAUGAUCAGCCACACUGGAACUGAGACACGGUCCAGACUCCUACGGGAGGCAGCAGUGGGGAAUAUUGGACAAUGAGCGCAAGCCUGAUCCAGCCAUACCGCGUGGGUGAAGAAGGCCUUCGGGUUGUAAAGCCCUUUUGUUGGGAAAGAAAAGCAGCAGGUUAAGACCCCGCUGUUCUGACGGUACCCAAAGAAUAAGCACCGGCUAACUUCGU
rnacentral:rRNA from 1 species